GAUGAACGCUGGCGGCGUGCCUAAUACAUGCAAGUCGAGCGAACAGACGAGGAGCUUGCUCCUCUGACGUUAGCGGCGGACGGGUGAGUAACACGUGGAUAACCUACCUAUAAGACUGGGAUAACUUCGGGAAACCGGCGCUAAUACCGGAUAAUAUAUUGAACCGCAUGGUUCAAUAGUGAAAGACGGUUUUGCUGUCACUUAUAGAUGGAUCCGCGCCGCAUUAGCUAGUUGGUAAGGUAACGGCUUACCAAGGCAACGAUGCGUAGCCGACCUGAGAGGGUGAUCGGCCACACUGGAACGUGGACACGGUCCAGACUCCUACGGGAGGCAGCAGUAGGGAAUCGUCCGCAAUGGGCGAAAGCCUGACGGAGCAACGCCGCGUGAGUGAUGAAGGUCUUCGGAUCGUAAAACUCUGUUAUUAGGGAAGAACAAAUGUGUAAGUAACUAUGCACGUCUUGACGGUACCUAAUCAGAAAGCCACGGCUAACUACGUG
rnacentral:rRNA from 1 species